CAGGGAGUAGUUUAGUUAGAAUAUCAGCUUUGGGUGCUGAUGGCGGAGCUGUUGCUUCUUCCCUGA
rnacentral:tRNA from 1 species